AGUCAGCCUGUCCUUUGUAGCUUUGAAGCCAGGCAUUGACUUCUCUCUAGCUAUGAAAGUCCUAGAUGGCAUCAUUCAAUAGAAGGCUGUUUUGUCUACACUGAAAUUUUGUUU
rnacentral:miRNA from 1 species